CCUACGGGGGGCUGCAGUCGAGAAUCAUUCACAAUGGGGGAAACCCUGAUGGUGCGACGCCGCGUGGGGGAAUGAAGGUCUUCGGAUUGUAAACCCCUGUCAUGUGGGAGCAAAUUAAAAAGAUAGUACCACAAGAGGAAGAGACGGCUAACUCUGUGCCAGCAGCCGCGGUAAUACAGAGGUCUCAAGCGUUGUUCGGAAUCACUGGGCGUAAAGCGUGCGUAGGCUGUUUCGUAAGUCGUGUGUGAAAGGCGCGGGCUCAACCCGCGGACGGCACAUGAUACUGCGAGACGAGAGGAAUGGAGGGGGAACCGGAAUUCUCGGUGUAGCAGUGAAAUGCGUAGAUAUCGAGAGGAACACUCGUGGCGAAGGCGGGUUCCUGGACAUUAACUGACGCUGAGGCACGAAGGCCAGGGGAGCGAAAGGGAUUAGAUACCCUUGUAGUC
rnacentral:rRNA from 1 species